rnacentral:rRNA from 1 species
GAUAAACGCUGGCGGCGUGCCUAACACAUGCAAGUCGAGCGAAGCACUUUGCUUAGAUUCUUCGGAUGAAGAGGAUUGUGACUGAGCGGCGGACGGGUGAGUAACGCGUGGGUAACCUGCCUCAUACAGGGGGAUAACAGUUAGACAUGACUGCUAAUACCGCAUAAGACCACAGCACCGCAUGGUGCGGGGGUAAAAACUCCGGUGGUAUGAGAUGGACCCGCGUCUGAUUAGCUAGUUGGUAAGGUAACGGCUUACCAAGGCGACGAUCAGUAGCCGACCUGAGAGGGUGACCGGCCACAUUGGGACUGAGACACGGCCCAAACUCCUACGGGAGGCAGCAGUGGGGAAUAUUGCACAAUGGGGGAAACCCUGAUGCAGCGACGCCGCGUGAGCGAAGAAUUAUUUCGUUGUGUAAAGCUCCAUCAGCGGGGAAGAAAAGGACGGUUGCUGAGUGUGACCGACGGCUAAGUGCGGUGCCACCAGGCGCGGUAAUCGGUAAGCCCAAGCAUUAUCCGGAUUUACGGGGUGGAAAAGGGAACGGAGACGGAGGCGCGAGUUUUCAGUC